AUGAGGGUUCCCACUCAGCUCCUGGGGUUGCUGCUGCUCUGGCUUACAGGUGCCAGAUGUGACAUCCAGAUGACCCAGUCUCCAGCCUCUCUGUCUGCAUCUCUGAGAGACAGUGUCACCAUCACGUGCCGGGCAAGUGAAGACAUUUACAGUAGUUUAGCAUGGUAUCAGCAGGAACCAGGGAAACCUCCUAAGCUCCUGAUCUACAGUGCAAAUAUCUUGGAAGAUGGGGUUCCAUCAAGAUUCAGUGGCAGUGGAUCUGGCACACAGUAUUCUCUAAAGAUCAGCAGCCUGCAGGCUGAAGAUAUUGCAACUUAUUACUGUCAACAGGGUUAUACUCCUCCCACAGUGAUAUAA